UACGUAGGGGGCCAGCGUUGUCCGGAAUCAUUGGGCGUAAAGCGCGCGUAGGCGGCCAGAUAAGUCCGGUGUGAAAGUCAAAGGCUCAACCCUUUGAAUGCCGCUGGAAACUGUCUGGCUUGAGUCCGGAAGGGGCGAGUGGAAUUCCUGGUGUAGCGGUGAAAUGCGCAGAUAUCAGGAGGAACACCAAUGGCGAAGGCAGCUCGCUGGAACGGUACUGACGCUGAGGCG
rnacentral:rRNA from 1 species